rnacentral:misc_RNA from 1 species
GAACAAAAACUCAUCUCAGAAGAGGAUCUGAAU